CCUAUAGUUUCUGCCCUUGUCUCUGCCUCCAGCUCCUUAAGAGCCACCCAGCCCCAGCGAUUGGAUUGGGCAGCCCGUCUUGACACACCACUGUGCUGAGUGCUUGAGGACGUGUUUCAACAGAUGGUUGGGGUUAGUGUGUGUCAUCACACUCGAGUGGGGAUUAGGGGAGAGAGGCAGCCUUGCUGGAGCUGUGUGGUCUUCCCCAAGUGUGAGCUGCAAGCAAAAGAAGAACCACCUAGCUUUGGGGGAGAAGAGGGAGGAACCGUUUCCAGCAGCUCAGAGGGAAAAAUAAAACCCCACACUUUGUCCAGAUCUUCACACUAACUCUCACAUACCUGUGGUGCUUAUGAAUUAUUGGCCUCCUACUUGUGAAAGAAAUCUAACACUGUCCUCACCAUUUACAG